rnacentral:rRNA from 1 species
UACGAAGGGGGGCUAGCGUUGUUUCGGAUUUACUGGGCGUAAAAGCGCACGUAGGCGGAUCGAUCAGUUCAGGGGUGAAAUCCCAGAGCUCAACUCUGGAACUGCCUUUGAUACUGUCGAUCUGGAGUAUGGAAGAGGUGAGUGGAAUUCCGAGUGUAGAGGUGAAAUUCGUAGAUAUUCGGAGGAACACCAGUGGGCGAAGGCGCUCACUGGUCCAUUACUGACGCUGAGGUGCGAAAGCGUGGGGAGCAAACAGG